rnacentral:rRNA from 1 species
AUCUAUGGCCAUAUCACCCUGAAAGUGCCCUAUCUUGUCUGAUCUCGGAAGGUAAGCAGGGUUGGGCCUGGUUAGUACUUGGAUGGAAGACUGCCUAGGAAUACUGGGUGCUGUAGGCU